GAUGAACGCUGGCGGCGUGCCUAAUACAUGCAAGUCGAGCGAACAGACGAGGAGCUUGCUCCUCUGACGUUAGCGGCGGACGGGUGAGUAACACGUGGAUAACCUACCUAUAAGACUGGGAUAACUUCGGGAAACCGGAGCUAAUACCGGAUAAUAUAUUGAACCGCAUGGUUCAAUAGUGAAAGACGGUUUUGCUGUCACUUAUAGAUGCUUACGGGCCGCAUUAGCUAGUUGGUAAGGUAACGGCUUACCAAGGCAACGAUGCGUAGCCGACCGGAGAGGGGGAUAGGCCACACGGGAACGGAGACACGGUCCAGACUCCUACGGGAGGCAGCAGUAGGGAAUCUUCCGCAAUGGGCGAAAGCCUGACGGAGCAACGCCGCGUGAGUGAUGAAGGUCUUCGGAUCGUAAAACUCUGUUAUUAGGGAAGAACAAAUGUGUAAGUAACUAUGCACGUCUUGACGGUACCUAAUCAGAAAGCCACGGCUAACUACGUG
rnacentral:rRNA from 1 species